rnacentral:lncRNA from 1 species
GUGCUACAGCGGGGGCCGUGCAAAACAGUGGUUCAACCUGAGAAAAGUUACAGGGUUAGGAGAGCACCGGCCGCGACCCACCCGGCCCCGGGCGCGGGGCGGGCACUGAGGCUGCCCUGCUACGGGGGGACGCGCCCACUGCAGGCCCAGGGCCUGUCCCCUGGCCCUCUGGCCUUCCUCCGCCGGCCCGGCCCGGCGGCCCACCGCCCACAGCCGGCCUGCCCCAGCCCAGGCCUGAGCCCUGUCUUCUUCCUCGCUCGCGCAGUGGGAGCCUCGAAGAACCGGCUUCCGUGCAAUGGAAAGUUUCAAGUAGCCGCUUGAAAUUUAAAGAAAAAUUCUAAAACGUUAACGAAACUGGUAAAAUUAAUUUAACAAUAUAUUUUAAUUCAGUAUACCCAAAAGGACUUUUCAAUAUGCAAUGGAUGUGACAUGUGAACGAGGUAUUUGACGUUCUCCUACUAGGUCGUCAGUCCACUUCACACCAAGCACACUGAGGUUCAGAGGAAGCCCUUCCCGGCAGCGGGGGCGGUGGCUCCCAGGGCUGUGUCUGGCCACUGCCCGCCUGCCCUCAAGCACACCUCACUCAAGCUCAGAGCUUCCCUGGCUGCCAGGCCCGGAGCCCUGUGCCCUCCACAUCCUCAGAGCUGUGCUUCGUCCCCUCUUGCCACCCCUCAGUUCCUGGCAGACCCUUCGACCUGACGCGUUUCAAACCCCAGCUCUGGUAGUUGUCCUGUCCCAGCUUGGCGUCCUUCUGCCUUACUCCAAGGCACUGAACCAUCCGACCUCCUCAUCCCGUGAACAAGGCCACUGGGAACAGCUCCUCAGAAGGCAGGAAGGGCCAGGGAGCAGGCAUGUGGAACAGUGCUGGACUGAGCUCAAGUGUCUUCAGGGUGAAAUUUGAAGAGAUCUAGAAGCAUACAAACCGAGGUGUUCAGAGAAAACAGAAAAAUAAGAUACUUUGCAUUUGUUUUACAUCCUAAAAAUUCUGGAAUAAAAUUCAUGUAUUCAUUCCACCUGGGCUGGGCUCUCAGUGCCUGUGGGUCAUCCUGCUUGCUUCUCUCUUCUUUCCCCUCUUCUCCCCUCCCCUCCCUUUCCCUCUCCUCCUCUCCCCUCCC